ACACGUAAACAACCUGCCUUCAGGAUGGGGACAACAGACGGAAACGACUGCUAAUACCGAAUAAGUUCCAAGAGCCGCAUGGCCCAUGGAAGAAAAGGUAGGCCUCUACCUGUAAGCUAUCGCCUGAAGAGGGGUUUGCGUCUGAUUAGCUGGUUGGAGGGGUAACGGGCCCACCAAGGCGACGAUCAGUAGCCGGUCUGAGAGGAUGAACGGCCACACUGGAACUGAGACACGGUCCAGACUCCUACGGGAGGCAGCAUG
rnacentral:rRNA from 1 species